rnacentral:rRNA from 1 species
UGCAAAUCGAAUGGGAGACAGCGAGCUCUCAUGGUGAACGGGUGAGUAUAACAUGAGAAUCAACCAUUAGACAAGGUAUAACAAGAGGAAACUUUUAGUAAUCCCUUAUAUGCGCAGUAGUGCUGAGAAAGGUUAAUUUAAUUAGAUAAGGACCGUCUAUAAACGAGCUCAUGCCUGAUUAGCUAGUUGGCGAGGUAAAGGCUCACCAAGGCGAAGAUCAGUAGCUGGCCUGAGAGGGUGGUCAGCCACAUUGGGACUGAGACACGGCCCAAACUCCUACGGGAGGCAGCAGUGGGGAAUCUUCUGCAAUAAGCGCAAGCUUGACAGAGCGACGUCACGUGAAGGAAGACGGCUACAAAUUAGUUGUAAACUUCUUUUGCUGAGUUGUGAAUACUGACAACGAAGUUAAAAAGCAUCGGCUAACUCCGUGCCAGCAGCCGCGGUAAUACGGGGGAUGCAGGCGUUAUCCGGAAUUACUGGGCGUAAAGAGUCUGUAGGUGGUCUAAUGUGUUCUUAGUGAAAGCAUAAAGCCUAACUUCAUAAGGUCUAGGAAAACUAUUAGACUUGAGUACAAUAGGGGUAAUAGGAAUUCUUCGAGAAGUAGUGAAAUGCGAAGAUACGAAGGAGAAGACCAAAAGCGAAGGCUUAUUACUGGGUUGUUACUGACACUGAGAGACGAAAGCUAGGGGAGCGAAAGGGAUUAGAUACCCCUGUAGUCCUAGCUGUAAACGAUGGGUACUCGGUACCGACAAAGCUCAAGACUUAGUUGGUACCCUAGCUAACGCGUUAAGUAUCCCGCCUGAGGAGUACGCUCGCAAGGGUGAAACUCAAAGGAAUUGACGGGGGCUCGCACAAGCGGUGGAGCAUGUGGUUUAAUUCGAUGCAACGCGAAGAACCUUACCAGAGCUUGACAUGGAUGCUAUAUAUAGGAAAGCCUUAAUGGACUACUUCUUAAAGCAUACACAGGAGGUGCAUGGCUGUCGUCAGCUCGUGUCGUGAGAUAUUGGGUUAAGUCCCGCAACGAGCGCAACCCUUGUUCGGAGUUGUAACUCUUNGAAGACUGCCUAAAAUCAUUUAUAGAUUUCGCAGGAGGAAGGCGAGGAUGACGUCAAGUCAUCAUGCCCCUUAUGCUCUGGGCUACACACGUGCUACAAUGGGAGGCACAAUAUGCAAACAAGAUCCUGUUCGCAAGAAUAAGGGUAGCCAUAAAAACCUCUCUUAGUUGGGAACGUAGGCUGCAACUGGUCUACGUGAAGUUGGAAUGGCUAGUAAUCGCCGGUCAGCCAUACGGCGGUGAAUAUGUUCUCGACGCCUUGUACACACCGCCCGUCACACCACGGAAAUUGAUCAGUCCCAAAGCCAU